UUUGGUGGCGAUGGUGAAGCGAAACCACAUCGCACUCCAUCCUGAACACGGCCGUUAAGCCUUCCAGCGCCGAUGGUACUUGGACCGAAGGGUCCCGGGAGAGUAGGAUUGCCAAGC
rnacentral:rRNA from 1 species